GGGACUGGGGCUCAGUGAUAGAGCACUCGCCUCACACGUGUGAGACCCUGGGUUCAAUCCUCAGUACCA
rnacentral:tRNA from 1 species